rnacentral:rRNA from 1 species
CUGCUGCCUUCCGUAGGAGUCUGGGCCGUGUCUCAGUCCCAAUGUGGCCGUCCGCCCUCUCAGGCCGGCUACUGAUCGUCGCCUUGGUGGGCCGUUACCCCGCCAACUGGCUAAUCAGACGCGGAUCCAUCGUAUACCGCCGGAGCUUUUCACACUGUCCCAUGCGGGACCGUGCGCUUAUGCGGUAUUAGCACCUGUUUCCAGGUGUUAUCCCCCUGUAUACGGCAGGUUAUCCACGCGUUACUCACCCGUCCG